rnacentral:rRNA from 1 species
UUGACCUCGGAUCAUGUAGGG